GUGCUCGCUUCGGCAGCACGUAUACUAAACUGGAACGAUAGAGAUUAGCAUGGCCCCUGCAUGGAGGACACGCAAAUUCAUGAGGUUUUCCAUAUUAAA
ensembl:snRNA U6 U6 spliceosomal RNA